rnacentral:misc_RNA from 1 species
UACGGAGGGGGCAAGUGUUGUUCGGAAUUACUGGGCGUAAAGGGCGCGUAGGCGGAACAUAAGUUAGGGGUGAAAGGCCUGGGCUCAACCUGGGAACGGCCUCUAAGACUGAUGAUCUUGAGUCCGGAAGAGGAUGGCGGAAUUCCCAGUGUAGAGGUGAAAUUCGUAGAUAUUGGGAAGAACACCAGUGGCGAAGGCGGCAAUCUGGUCCGGCACUGACGCUGAGGCGCGUAAGCGUGGGGAGCAAACAGG